UUGAACGCUGGCGGCAUGCCUUACACAUGCAAGUCGAACGGUAACAGGUCUUCGGAUGCUGACGAGUGGCGAACGGGUGAGUAAUACAUCGGAACGUGCCCAGACGUGGGGGAUAACGAGGCGAAAGCUUUGCUAAUACCGCAUACGAUCUAAGGAUGAAAGCAGGGGACCGCAAGGCCUUGCGCGUUUGGAGCGGCCGAUGGCAGAUUAGGUAGUUGGUGGGAUAAAAGCUUACCAAGCCGACGAUCUGUAGCUGGUCUGAGAGGACGACCAGCCACACUGGGACUGAGACACGGCCCAGACUCCUACGGGAGGCAGCAGUGGGGAAUUUUGGACAAAGGGCGAAAGCCUGAUCCAGCAAUGCCGCGUGCAGGAUGAAGGCCUUCGGGUUGUAAACUGCUUUUGUACGGAACGAAAAGGCUCUGGCUAAUACCUGGGGCACAUGACGGUACCGUAAGAAUAAGCACCGGCUAACUACGUG
rnacentral:rRNA from 1 species